CUUGGUCAUUUAGAGGAAGUAAAAGUCGUAACAAGGUCUCCGUAGGUGAACCUGCGGAGGGAUCAUUACACAAAUAUGAAGGCGGGCUGGAACCUCUCGGGGUUACAGCCUUGCUGAAUUAUUCACCCUUGUCUUUUGCGUACUUCUUGUUUCCUUGGUGGGUUCGCCCACCACUAGGACAAACAUAAACCUUUUGUAAUUGCAAUCAGCGUCAAUAACAAAUUAAUAAUUACAACUUUCAACAACGGAUCUCUUGGUUCUGGCAUCGAUGAAGAACGCAGCGAAAUGCGAUAAGUAGUGUGAAUUGCAGAAUUCAGUGAAUCAUCGAAUCUUUGAACGCACAUUGCGCCCUUUGGUAUUCCAAAGGGCAUGCUUGUUCGAGCGUCGUUUGUACCCUCAAGCUUUGCUUGGUGUUGGGCGUUUUUGUCUUUGGCCCGCCAAAGACUCGCCUUAAAAUGAUUGGCAGCCGGCCUACUGGUUUCGCAGCGCAGCACAUUUUUGCGCUUGCAAUCAGCAAAAGAGGACGGCAAUCCAUCAAGACUCCUUCUCACGUUUGACCUCGGAUCAGGUAGGGAUACCCGCUGAACUUACGCAUAUCAAUAAGCGGAGGA
rnacentral:rRNA from 1 species